GCCUCGAUAGCUCAGUUGGGAGAGCGUUAGACUGAAGACCUAAAGGUCACCAGUU
rnacentral:tRNA from 1 species